rnacentral:lncRNA from 13 species
AUGAAUGAAAAGGCACAAUGGCAAAAUCGGACGGGCUCCUUUUCAAAUCCACGUCUCCGAUGUCCCCCCCGCCACCCUUCCACAGUCUGCAGUCGCUCGGCGGCUGGUGUGGCAGGCAGAGUGGAAGGAGAGGAGAGAGAAAGAGUGAGGGGAGAGCAAGGGUUACAUCAAGGCUGCUCCCUGGACCGUGCAAACAAGUCUAGACCAGUGACCUGUUCAAUGGCUCCUUUUGAGGAGCGGUGCAAGUUCGGUCAGGGCGAGGAGAAAGCCAGGCGGGCCCUUCUUUUCAGUGCCGGAGCAGCUCAAAGCCUGCGGCUGCCAGGAGAUAGGAAGAGAGUGAGAUUACUCCAUACCCUGUAAGGCACACAAUCAACAAGUCGUUCACAGCUUAUAAAAUGAGUCGGAUCACCACAAAGGAGAACAAAAUGCAUAUGUGGAUCCAUUUUCUUAGUCUACAGUACAUUUCAUACUGAAUUAGAAAUGUACUGAAGAAUGGGACACUAAUCCGGACGCUUAUAAGAAAUCCUGCUACGCCCUCAGACGAACCAUCAAACAGGAAAAGCGCCGAUACAGGAUUAAGAUUGAAUCCUACUACACCGGCUCUGACGCUCGUCGGAUGUGGCAGGACUUGAAAACUAUUAUGGACUACAAAGGGAAACCCAGUCAUGAGCUACCCAGUGAUGUGAGCCGACCAGAAGAGCUAAAUAUAUUUUAUGCUCGCUUCGAGGCAAGCAACACUGAAGCAUGCAUGACAGCACCAGCUGUUCUGGACGACUGUGUGAUAACGCUCUCGGUAGCCAAUGUGAGCAAGACCUUUAAAAGGUCAACAUUCACAAAGCUGUGGGGCCAGACGGAUUACCAGGAUGUGUACUCAAAGCAUGUGUGGACCAACUGGUAGGUGUCUUCACUGACAUUUUCAACCUCUCCCUGACCGAGUCAGUAAUGCCUACAUGUUUCAAGCAGACCACCAGAGUCCCUGUGCCUAAGAAAGCGAAGGUAACCUGCCUAAAUGAUUACCGCCCGUAGCACUCACGUUGGUAGCCAUGAAGUGCUUUGAAAGGCUGGUCAUGACUCACUUCAACAGCAUCAUCCCGGAUACCAUAGACCCAUUCCAAUUCGCAAACAGAUCCACAUAUGAUGCAAUCUCAAUCGCACUUCACACCGCCCUUUUCCACCUGGACAAAAGGAACACCUAUGUGGGAAUGCUGUUCAUUGACUACUGCUCAGCAUUCAACACCCUAGUGCCCAAAAAGCUCAUCACUAAGCUAAGGACCCUGCAGCAGUAUCUCAACAGCUAGCCUAUAGGGCCUCCGAGAGCCUCUCAGCUGAUGGAGCCUCUUAUCAACACAGGCUGCCCAGUGAAAGGGACUUAGCAGCUAUCAAUUAGGGGCCAAACAAAUGUAGAGUGAUAUUAAUGGGUGUUCAAUGGCAGAGCGUGAGAGGCCUCUCCAUGUAGGCUCAACGACCCCCCUCAGCCCCAGACGACUCACAAUGCCAACAGGUUGACAGUGUGUUGUUUAGCUUGAUCCUGCUAAAACCCUGGAAACCCCAAGAGGAAGGGCCUUUUAUCUGCAUGGGGCCUCCUAGCUGACUCUCCUGCUGGGGUGGGAUCUCUGUGUGGUGACUGCUCUGCUCUGUCCAGUCAACCACCAUAGUGUUGCACUUCAGUCAGUCUAGCCCUCUGGGGCUCAGACUGAGUGAAAGGAUCUAGGUUCAUGUUCUGAAUGAUGUGGAGAACGUUCAAUUAACCAUGUCUGAAUUUUUGGAAGAGACCUAACGUGAAAUACUGUAUGUCUUAAAUUCCAGUCCCAAUUUAUAGACACAUUGUUGAUCUAUCUUCUCACUUUUCACUUGAGUUUUUCAGAAACAAAUAUAAUUAUGUUGUAGUAUGUCCUAUACACAUACGCUUUCCAAAUUACAGCCAGGUACUCAAAAGCCUUGGUUGGCUUCAUACUGUUCCUCCUCAACCCUCCACACACAGUUAUUAAACAGACUAGAGGAGCCAAGCUGCGUUGGGCCGGAGCCCAGAGUUUAUUUUAAGAGUUCAGUUUUUCUCCAUCUUUCCUCACCUCUGAACUGAAUGGGUCGUCCAGAUGUAUCUAACUAGUGGGGCCGAGGCGAAGAGGACGUGGUCCUGGAGAAUUCUGCUGCCUCAGCACUCCCUGGUCCAGCUGGCUUAGCGGCCAGGCCAAGCAGGGUAGGAGUCAUUGGUUCCAGCUGCGCCUCCAUUUAUGGGAGGUUGGACAAAUAAAUCAUGGGAUUAGAUAGGAGAGGAGAGACUUGGAGAAAGAGAGAUUAUGCUUUCACUGCACCAACCAAGGCCUCCUUAAUAACAGAACAGCACACUGACUGAGAGAGCUCUGUAACAAGCCAGUUGCUCCAAGAUCCUUGGACUGAUUUCAUUGUAUUAAGGAUAUAUCCUGCAUCCUAGGUCAUGCUAGCAACAUUUAUUUACUUAAUUUGUGUUAUGCCAGGCAAAAUUGUAAAGAUGAAAUGUUUUCCAAGCAAAUUAUAUUAGGGAGGAGGCAUGUAAUUGUCUUCUAAUGAAAUGCAACUUACCAUCAAAACAAGUUAUCUUUAUUUCUUGCCACAUACGGUAUCAAUUUAAGGUUGUUGCUGUGCUAUCCUUGGGAUGUCCCUACCCUAAGCCCUAACCUUAACCCUAACCUUAGCUCUAAUCCUUACCUUAAUGAUUUUAAAUGUAAACUUCAAUGUGGUAGGGACAUCCCAAGGAACUGAGAUAGCGAGGACCCUCAAUUUUAUGUCAUCUGUACACAGGAAUGAAAUGUGUGAAUAUCAAAUCUCUCUUAGCUUAAGCCAGGUCCAGCUGCAUUAGCAAAAGUAAUGUUAGGCUCUUGAUGUCAUCGUUGUGGAAUAUUUUUUAGCCACUACGCAUGUGUAAAAAAAUCAACCCUAUUAAGAGAAGUGUAUCUUGAGUAUUUUCAGUAAGUCUAUUGUUGGACAUAAUACCCAUGCACGCACACACAUAAGCAAACUCAAUUAAUUCAUGCUUUUGUCUGAGUGAGGGUCCUUUCAACAAGGCCAUUGGUCUGCUGGUUCUGCCCUCAGUGAACACCAGAGACGUUGAUAGAAAAUAAAAACAUGAGGGACUAGAUCCUGCUACUGGUGUCACUGGCCAGACAGGUAGCUACUAAUUCUCUACAAAUUCCCCACUUCAUAUGGCUGUAGCAGACUGUGAUUUGGUGAGGUCUCUGCAUGGCUGCUAGUAUUUUUCCUUAAGACGAGAUAUCCCCUUAAUGUGGUUAGUUUAAUGGCAAAUGAAUAACCAUAACACAUCCAUGGCAGACGGGUGUGUCAUUGAUCUGUCUGGAUUCAUUCAGCCCCCCCCCCCC